GACGAACCGAGCGAACGUUGUUCGGAAUCACUGGGCUUAAAGGGCGCGUAGGCGGCUUACCAAGUCAGGGGUGAAAUUUUGCGGCUUAACCGUAACAGUGCCUUUGAUACUGGUAGGCUCGAGGGAGGUAGGGGUUCGCGGAACUUCUGGUGGAGCGGUGAAAUGCGUUGAUAUCAGAAGGAACGCCGGUGGCGAAAGCGGCGAACUGGAUCUACUUCUGACGCUGAGGCGCGAAAGCUAGGGGAGCAAACGGG
rnacentral:rRNA from 1 species